CUACUAUCACCGGAACCCAGUCCGGGUAUUUCUUUCGGAUCUUCUCGCCCUCAGAGCGGCAAGAAAAGGAACAGAGAC